CCUUGAUUUAGGAGGCUUCUGCUCUCCUUGAGGGAAAGUCUCUGCAGAUUCCGGGGCCUGUGGAGAGGAGGGCCAGAGGGAGCGCAGUUGUUUUGACUGCAUUUUUCCUGGCCCGAUUAAAUCUCAGUGGCACUGGAGCUUCCUGUUACUGAGAGAACACAGCGCUGUGCUUGGGGCUGCAGCAGGGCAAAGGCGGGGCACAGCUGGCAUGGCUGCGGGGCUGCGGGGCUCGGGGCAGGAGGACGCACCAUGCAGCUGGGACCGCGCCGGCAGGGCGCUGAGGACCUGCAGCGGGGCGGCCUGCGGGCGCUGCAGCUGAUGCUGGAAGCGUGCUGCGGGUCCCGGAUGCUCUACCAGAAAUGACCACAUGAACACAUGGCUAGGAACCACCCAGAGACUUGAAAGAGACACCAUGACAUGAGGAUCCCUGGAGUUUAAGCUCCUGACGAAGCUACUCCUGGGCCCCCUACCACGAGCCUGGCCCCACCUUACUCCUCGCUGUGCAGUUCAAACUGUAAGAAAAAAUAAAUACGUAGGAUGAAUGAUCUGAAUUAUUGACCCGCCAUAAAUUGCUUCUGGCCUCAAAGACGUGGAACACAUGUAUAUGUACGGCAUAUUGCCUGCUGACAAGGCCCCCAAGAGGCAGCAGGCCAGGGGUUCUCCCCUCUGCCUGGUUUCAGGACACAGGCCCCCUUGGGGACCACGGGCACACGCUCUUCUUCUGAGCUGCGGGGUUUUAUCCUCACUCUGGCUCAUCCCGCACGCGGCUGCUACAAGGACCAGUGGCCAUGGGACCACCGCAGCGUUGGGAAUUUGGAGAGCCCACCGCUACCUUAACCACACAGCAGUCUUCCCCAGCGCGCUAACACGGCCCCGUGCAGACCUCAGAGCCAGGCCUGCCACCGAGGACCGAUGGACACAUUUCCCACCAAUAAGCAAGGUCUCACCAGCCGGGUCGGUUUGGAGUCCCAGAGCCAUCUGCGUGUUUACUUCUGAGCAGAAGUUUGCUUCUGAGACUGAGAGGGUCUCGAAGUCUCAGGUGGUUGGCAAAUACAACCUUGCAGACCCUCCGCAGGAGUGGUUAGGGUGAUGGCGCCAUCUCUCUAGGAUGAGACGGGGGUCUCUGGCCUCACCCGCCUCUUCUGGAAGAGCUGGUACAACUGAUCUGGUCCAGUACAGGAGGUCACGAUUGAAGCCAACGUUUCCACGUGUGGAGAGCUGGCCUUUGAUUCUCAAUUUGCUAUUUCUGCUGCUCCCUUUCAUCAUUCCGUCACAGCAAUGUAUGUUUUCAAAAGGCAGGGUCCUCUGUAUUAUUUAAUGCCUACAUGUGGCUUGGACCUUGCCUGUUCUCGGGUGAUCUGUAAGGAGAAACAGCAAGUUUAUUAGAUUUCUUUGGCAAGUCUGCACAUUUUUAAUAUUUUCAGCCACCUUUUAAGGCUCUUGGUGCCUAUUGUAAAGGACAGCCUGUUUGCAUUUGCGCCAGUGCGUUUGAAUUUCAUGCAUCCUAUCUUUCGCAACAGUAUCUUCUUAGGUUGACACAGAGUCACGAUAUUGCAGAAAGCAAAUCUUUCGUUCUUGGGUUUUCAAAUUGUUCCUCCUUGAUGUGGGAAGGAAACAAUGUAAUAGUUUUUACUUCUUACUUUUACAUACAAUAUUUUUGAACCUGACUAGGGAAUGUUUUCAUCCUCCUUCAAAGGGAUUUUCUUUGGCACCGAGCUUGCCUGUCUGAAAUCAGCCUGGCCCGCCCCUCCCCAGUUAGAUAAUCUAUUCCCAAAGCAGCUUUGGCUUGCCAUCAACACCUGGCUCCCUGGGCAUCGGGAAGGUGUCUGAAGGUCUAGGGCGGCGGCUCACUGCUGUGAUGCUCUGCUCAGAAAAGGGGUGGCCAUGUUUCGUGUGGAUGGGAUCUCUGCGUGGGGCUGAGGCCACUGCUCUGCUGUGGCCUUGGAAAUGAUUUGACCGACUAGGGAUGUGGUGCCCUCAAAAUGUCCUGCUCACGGAUCUUUUCAAAACCCACCGUUUCAGAGACAGGGCUCACCCAUGCCAGAAACCGGCUAUGCACAUUUUUGAAGAAUUUAUAGAAUCUUCUCAAAUGUGUUCUAUUUUUUGAUUCUCAAUACUUCAGGAGGCGAGCACUGCAGUCUUCAUUGGUAAAUAAGGAUUUCAUGCAGUGGCUCAGGGAGCUGGCAGCCCUGUCCUCUGGGGAUCCCAGCAGCUGCCCUGGAGAUGUGUCAGCUAUGGAAGCGACCAUUUGUUCAGAACAGUCAUUUCAGUGACUCACUUGGAAGGAAAGGGCCAGCAGCAUGCAAAGUGAAGCAUCCUAAGUUCUAUUUCCAACUUUCACAUUUAACCCAGGUAUGGCAUUUUCGGCUUUCUCUGCCCCAGCUUUCCCAUUAAUUAAAUGCACCUUCAUUCAUUCAUCUGAUACAUAAUCAAUGGAUACUUCUGUGUGCCAGGCAGCGUACUUGGUUCUAGAGAUAGGAUGGUGAACAAAAACAAGUACAACAGGGCCGGGGAUUUAGCUCAGUGGUUUCGCCACCUGCUGCACAAGCGCAAGGACCCGAGUUCGAUCCCCAGUACCAAAAAAGAAACAAGUACAAUUGCAUUUUCUCAGGGAGGCUUCAUUCAGUGGAGAUUUGAUCAUCACUAGUCACUCGACAUUGUAAAUAUCAUAAUUGUGCAAACUGAAGGUGAAACUACAGGUCGAUACUUUAAAGAUAAGGAGACUCCUGGCCUAAGAGGCAACACAGGGGUGUUACUUUUUCUGAGAGGCCAAGGAAGGCUUCCUGAGGAAGCAGCACUGAGCAGGGAGCUUGGCAGAGGAGAUAGGAGGCGAGAGGUCAGGGAUAACAUUAUGGAUCCACCCAGAGCUGUGCAGCAGAUGGCAAAAGGCGCUGAGCUUGUUAGGCCCUAACAUCAUGUGUCCUCACUCAAUAAGUGUCAGACGUUUAAAUCGCUCACCAGGAUGUGGACCUGCUACCUGACCACUGGACCUGGGAAAGCCAGUGGCCUAUUUUGGCAGACACCCCACCCAGCCUCCCAGGGAAAUUUCCUUUCUCCGGGGGAUGAGCUCAUCGCCAUGCCAGAUGGGUUUCCAGUGACUGAUUAUUGUGCAAUCUGAUUAUUUUCAUGUCAUGCUAAUUCCCUCUGAAAGAUGGACACAGGAUAUAGGAUCUAUCUCCUUAUCAUCUCUAAAAGCUAGGGGACCGUCCCCAGUUAGGCCACGUACCCUGCAGACUGAGAGAACGCACACCACUUAAAACCGUGGCAAUUCUGGCACCAUGGUCCACUAAUAGUAGCCUAUUAUUGUGCACAUUAAUCAGUUGUAUCAUAGGGUACAUCAACUAAAGUGACUUCAGACUCUAUAACAGACUUGGAACUCAGCGACUUAACACAAUGGACAUUUUGUACUGAUUCGAAGUUGAACACGCUCUGGUUGGCAGACAGCUUAUGGUGGCACUCAGUGCCGUGCUGUGACUCCUGCAGAUGCCCAUGUCCUCUUCACUCAGCUCCAAAGGAGGACAGAGAACACAGGAGCCUCAGUGAAAGACUCUUACGGGUCAGGCCUCGAAGGCUUCAUCCCUCCUAUGCCCAUCUCAUAGGCCAGAACUCUGACUCAGGGCUGCACCUGACUGCCAAGUCCAGAUGGGUAAGCGGCCAUCCACUUACCCAGAGCCAUGUACCUGGGCCAAGGCAGUGUCCUACAGAGGCAGUGAAGUAGUCAGAGUGACCCCCUUUUCUCUGCAGGGGAGACAGCCCAGGAUACCCAGGGACAUCUGAAACCUCAGAGAAUACUGAACCCUAUAUAUGCUAGGGUUUUUCUUAUCCAUGCAAACCUAUGAUAAAUUUUAAUUUGUAAAUUAGACACAGCAAGAGAUUAACAAGUAACAAUAAAAUACAACAAUCCUAAUAAAUGUUAUGUGAAUGUAGUCUCUCUCUCAACAGAUAGUACGUGAGACCUCUUCUCUGGCGUAUCUAAAUUGCCAGCAUCUCCCUUGCACUUCAGGACAUUAUUAAGGAAGCUAGGGCUGCUUGAACACAAGUACAGGCACACACCAACAGUGACUUGUGGGCAGGCAGGGUGUGCAGCAUGGACACGCUGGGCAGAAAGAUUGUUCAUAUGGAAUGGUGGGAGGUUUUGUCAUGCUGCCUAGAACAGCGUACAACUUAAAACUGAUUAAUUGCUUAUUUCCAGUAUCUUCCAUUUAAUAUUUUUGGACCAUGGUUGACUGCAGGUAACUUAAACCCAAGAGAAGCAAAACUACAAAUAAAGGUAGCCUAAUGUAAGUCCCAACUCCUAGGUGAUAAUUCGAAGACAGAUUACCUGUGGAGUCCAAAUCUUCUCAUCUGUAAAAUGGAAAUGCUAACACCGCUGAUUGUGUUAUCCUUAGGACUGAAUGAGGUGUUUACAUAAAGUACUUAGACCAAGACUGAUAAAUGAUAUGUGCUUAUCCAUGGUAAGCCAUUAUUAUCAAUUUAUUCAUUUGCUACAAAGCAAAAGCAAAUUAGGGCCGGGGAUGUAGCUCAGUGGCUCCGCGCCUGCCUGGCAAGUGCAAGGUCCUGAGUUUGAUCCCAGUACGGAAAAAAAAGUAAAAGCAAAUUGAAAGAUGGUUCCUUCACAUUAUCUCAUCUAAGAAGUAAGCGAGGAUAUAAAACAACAUUCUUUAAUUCCAAAACCAAACAAACCUCAGUCCCCAAAAUCAGUACGGAUUAUCAUCGUAGCUAUGGUGAUCUGCCUUUAACUUUCCAGAGGAAAUUUAGGGGAGAUUUUGAUCAACAAUUACACCAGGAAAUAGGCCCAGCCAAAGCUUCUAGCAGGGAUUUCGUCGUCUCGGGAGCAGGUCAUUCCCCAGAGGAUGACGGUCACAAGUUGACCGUUCCUAGAAGCCCAGAGCGCUCUGCACUCUGCCCCCCCCCCCCCGGACUGGGCCAAACCUUCUGUGCUUCCUCCUCCUCCUUGGCACAGACGGGAGCGCAGGCCAGCCGGGCACGUCCCAGGCAGGGAGCGCUUGCUAACACUCAGCCCUGGGGCACACUGUGGCGACACCGUGUCCAGAGCGCUGCUCCAGGAGCAGCGUGGAGGUGCCAGCGCUCGCUGUGUGCCGGGCAGGAAUCGAGGGCGUGUGGAAGUCAGCAUGGCCCUCCUUCCAGCUUCUUCGUUGUGUUUAGUUCACCCGCCAUGCUCACAAAGGCUGGGAUAAGCCCUUGAAUAGUUAGCUCAGCUGUUGUGACAUAACCUGGUCAUUGCCUGAAAUGAACUUCUUGAAGUUCUCAGGGAUAUUCAGCCUCUCAAGCAGUGAUUUCAAAUCUUCAAAAAUAAAAUGAAACACAGCUGUUGAACACGGAUCGGCACUGUCUGAUUCCCGCUGAUGGGGAGGAGACUUUGACUGGGAAGGGGCUUCCACAUCCGGAAGUGCGCACUGCUCAGAGCCCCACCAGUGCUGUCCAACAAAACAUGCGCACUCAAGCCACUUCUGAGAAUGAGCUGCCUAGAGUGCUGGGUGCUGUGUGAUCUCAGACCAGUGUAAUCGCUCCCUUCCAUCAAGGCUGCUGGUACAGACCAACGGUGUGUAGUUCUGACCACGCAUUUUACCUGCAUGCGAAUUCUCCCAGUGAUCCAGUGCCCACGCUACUCUGAUUGAGGACUCCAUUUCCCCGGGAAGGAAGCAGAGGUUGGUCACAUGGCCAAGGGCGUCCAGCAUACUGGAGCCUGGUCUUGCUGGCUGGCUCUGGUCACUGUAGCCAGCACAGGCCAUGCUGAUCAUCUGUCAUCGGGAGGGCUUCCUUUCUCCCACAGCCACUGGAGGAAAGACUGCCUCAGUCCUGGGAGCGUCUGGCUCCUGCACUGGUGUGCUGAGGAGUCCUUAAGGGUGGAUGGACACUGGGUUUUGCCCUCUGCCUUUGUCUACCGCUGCAGGUUCUUCCUGCAGUGUGGUCUGAAGGAAGGAAACAGAGCUUUUCCAGCCGUCAGUCCGUGAGUCUCGCAGGCGCCGCUUUGGCCAAGGUUAGAGAUUCUUGGUAUCAGAAGGUGACACUCACUGUGUACUUGAUACACGUGGCCUGCACGCGUCCAUGCAAUCCUCAAGGGCAUGGAGGGGGGAGAGACCUUACCGUCCAGUUUUGUACUCGAGGAGACGGAGCCCCUGAGAACUUUGAAUCACAGGGCCUGGACCACACAGCGAAGCAGCAAAACAGGAUUGAAAGCCAGUCCAUUUGACUCCCGAGGUCACGUCCGAGGCCUGAGGUCAUUUGGAAGGGUGGGUGUGAGAAAUCGCCCUUCCAUGGGCCCUCACGCCAUCUCCUCCAGCCUCCAACUCUCCUGGCUGACCUGUAUUUCCACGGCCACACUCAUUAUAGCUUCAAGCAUCCCCGCCUUGCUGCUUUCUUGUUUCAGUCAACCACAGGAGUUUCUUGAUUGGGCCAGCGGUGGUGUGCUGGCUGCGGAUAGGAUACCAGAGCUCUGUGGCUGAAUCUGUGUUAGCUAUGUGGGUGCUGUCUGUUCACUUUGCUUCGGUUCCCUCCGCUGCAAAACAAGGAUAAUAACUUCGAAUUUUUAUAGUAAUGAGUGAGACAUUGUGCACACUGCUCUUCGCACUGUGCUGAUAGACAAUACAGUCCAUAAGAGGCAGCGCGGCUGUGACUAACAUUGUCAAUUUGUACUCAGUCCACCAAUGUUGAUUGAAUUACAGCCCAGCCUGUGUCCUAAUCCUGAGAGAGCAAUGCAAAAGAUCGCUAGGUUGUUUGCUACAGCUUUCAAUAUAGCUGGGUAAAUUAAUCAGCUAAGUAGGAAAAAAUAACUUGUAACACAUAGCAGUAGCUCACAGGCCAAGGGAAAAGUGUGGACAGUAAGGACGGGUGGGUUUCAGAGGAAGAAGCAGCCAGCACUGAGAGCGAGUUUCCGAGAGGAAGUUGGAGAAUAGACAAGAUGGAGGGCAGGGUGGGUUUCCGAACAGCAAAACGGUGCAGGCCAAGGGAAAGUGUGGAAAACCGGGGCUGUGUUCCCAGUCACAGUACAGCAUCAGCUUCUGAGGCAGACUGGGGAAGAGCAGGAGUAGGAGAAGUGGUGGGGAGCCGAAAGCACAGGGGCACCCAAAGGAAGGGAUGGCCGCGGCUCGAAGGUGCUGGGGCGCAGUGUGCCCGGCCGAGAAUGAACACUGCAGGCCAGAAAGGAGGCUGAGACUCCCGAAGGGGUGUGUCUGAGCGUUGAACCAUCAGUUUUGAGACAGGCGUCACACUACCUUCCCGCGCCCCUCUGUGGGGAAGAGGCCUGGCCCUGGCUCACUCUCACCGUGGUGGCCCUGUGGUCAGCGUCCUACCUCCUUUCAGGACUUCCUGAGCUGGUGACAGGACCAGAAGGUCCAGAGGUACCAGGUGGGGGUGUCGGGCUGGCAGGAGAGUCAGACCUGAAUGGGGAGCUCACCGUGAAUCUCGGUUUUUGGAAAUCGCUUGUGCUUUCUGCCCCUCCCGGGCCUUUGUGAAGGGCCAACAGUUGAGAGUUGCUAGCGUGUCUUACUUACUUUUCUGUCAUUGAGACAAAAUA